GCCUGGGUGGUUCAGUCGGCUGAGCGUCUGACUUCAGCUCAGGUCAUGAUCUCACAGCUUGUGAGUUCGAGCCCCACUUUGGGCU
rnacentral:tRNA from 1 species